rnacentral:rRNA from 1 species
AUACGGAGGGUGCAAGCGUUGUUCGGAAUCACUGGGCGUAAAGGGCGCGCAGGCGGUUUGGUAAGUCAGAUGUGAAAGCCCACGGCUCAAUCGUGGAAGUGCAUUUGAAACUGUCAGACUUGAGUACUAGAGGGGAAAGUGGAAUUCCCGGUGUAGAGGUGAAAUUCGUAGAUAUCGGGAGGAAUACCGGUGGCGAAGGCGACUUUCUGGCUAGAUACUGACGCUGAGGCGCGAAAGCGUGGGGAGCAAACAGGAUUAGAAACCCUAGUAGUCC